GGGAAACCGUGAGGGAGAGACCGCCACACACACAAACACACACAGACACACACCCGGCCCCUCCCAGAGCUCGUAAGGUGAAACUCCCACAGAACCCCGAGGAGCAGCCCCGGCUUCUCUCCCACAGCGAGGAGUGGCUUUUCCAGAGCGCUCGGGAGCGCGGCUUUCCCUGGAGCAGAGCCGGGACGGGGGUUUUCCUCGCGCUUCAGCGCAUCCUGAGGGGACGCGCGCCCUGGAUUAAGUAAGGGAAAGCAUUAAGACUUCGCAUACCACUGAGGCUGAGCAUCAUGCAAGAUCUGUCAAGAGUCAAUUUUUGCCUAAAGAGACGCGUUUGGGAAAGAAAACACAGCUUUCUGCCUAAUUAGACAGGCUGGCCUGACUUGCUGAAGCUGUGACACAAGCACCAGAGCUGACACGAAGAAAGCAUCGGGAGAGCACAUCCACACACCAAACCACCCCUUUUGGAGACAAGAUGUGAGAUCAGACACUGCAAGAGCACACAGCAAUUUCUGGUUGCAACGAAAUACUCAACAGACCUCGAAACCCUCCGUGCUUCUGACUUCUUCCAGGAAAAUUUGGGAGCGCCUCAGCUGCUUCUGGGGUCACAAAAUUCCUUCCAGCACGAGGAACAGUGCAAGUGCCAUCCUGGUCAUCAACUGCAAACAGAAGGCUUGCAAAAGUAGAAGCAGCUCCAUGCCAAAGAAUGCAAAGGAUAAGGAGAAAAGCCUGGACCAAUUGGCAUCACCAGCUUCCCAGAAAGGCUGCAGGGUAGAUGGGAUACAAAGCCAUGAAAUAACACCUUGAUAAGGAUGGUUGGGAUCUUGUCAUGGAUGAUAAGAACACCCAGGGAAAUUUUAAGCAGGACACACCCUCCUCAAACACUGUGGAGCUUGUUGCUGUGGGACAUCAGUCUGGCAAAAGUGAAAAAAGGGACUGGCCAUUUGUAUGAACUCAGAAGUUUUUAACUCUGGAGUUGAAUUUUUUAGUUUGCCUUUUGCUUUGGUUUGCAAAGACAGUUCUGCAGGAAUUGCUUCCAUCUAUUACAUAGAGGCUGGUUAAUCAUAAUUUUCCUCACAGUAUUUCUUCAGGAUAAUUCCCCAUUAAGAACAUCUGCAGUAAGAAAAAGAAGACUAAAAGUGAGAGAUAGAGUGAUAAAGAGGAUAAGAACUGUUAGGUAAAUAGAGCUUAAACGCAGGUAAUGGACUUUUAGCAUGGGUCAGCUGUGCUGUAAUUGUGAGCUAAAGUUAGUUGAAUUAGGAGGCUGCAAGCAGGUGACACAGUUGGCUAAAGAGCUGUCCUUGAGGUAAUUCAGCAGCACACUCCUCCUUCUGAAAAAUGCUCCCAGCGUUUCUUGAAAGAGAGUUUGCACUGGUCUGUUUAAGGUUGAUUGCUAUUGAAAUGGAACCCACAGAAGCAAUUAACAGUCAGCAGCUCUGCACUGCAACCAGGGAAGGAGCCCUGCACUGCACACAGUGGCAAACAUGAGGUUUAAUAAAUAGGAAUUCCAAGGGAUUUUCACAGGUUUAGUAGAGUGGUGACAUAUGUUAUCAUCCUGCUCACCACAGACUGCAAUAGGAUUUUACACUGUCAUGUCACAUCGGCCCAUGAUAACCAGAAGUCAUUUAUUUCCUAAGAAAAUAGUAACUAGAUAUGACAACCUGUGUUGCCUCAUGGUGAGGUUAUGGUAGUAUUUACUGAUAAUGUGAAGUAUAACUUGUGUCAUCUAUUAGAUUUUGCAGUAGAAAUUCAGAGCAUUUCUAAAGUUAAAAGAACAGCCCAGUUUGUUUGUGUCUUGUCUUUUUGGUUGAUAACAUAAUAAGAACUUCUAUCACUUGCAUACAGCUUACAUUAAAAACUAUAUAGCAAUUCUUAAAUUAAGAAUUAAUCUAUCUUCAAAGUGAAAUAAAUAAUUAGACUUCUUUGUAAUUAUAAAAUUCCUCAUUAUGUAGCUCCUUUUUUUGCAGAAGCAGGGAGAGAUGUAUUUAUCUGUGUCUCUGUGCUUCUAUCUAUCUAUUGGGUCUCUCCUGCUUUUGUUUUUCUAGACAGGAUAUAGUGGUUGUAUUUUAACGCUGCAGAAUCUGAAAUGAGUCCUCUAUUAAACUAAGAAUGCAUAGUUACCAUUCUGGUUUUAUUUUCCUCGGGAAACAUAAAUAAUUAAACUUGACUUCAAGUAAAAAGAUGAAGUUAGCCUUCCUACUGUACUCCAAUCAUUUUUCCUUUAUGGCUUGGCUGGCAGGAUGGUAAUCCUGGACUCUUGCUAGAAAUUACCACCUGAGAGUUCUCUUCAUUUGAGUCCUUUUGCAAGGUGGAUGCAGUGGAUGUCUACAACACAAUUUAAAAGGCUUUUCAUCGGGCUUCAUUCUUGAUUUCUACUGUAAAUUCCACAAGCUACAGUAGUUUAAUGCAGGAGCGUAGAUGUCCAUAAAAAGCU